rnacentral:rRNA from 1 species
GCGGCCGAUUAGGUAGUUGCUGGGGUAACGUCCCAACAAGCCGAUAAUCGGUACGGGUUGUGAGAGCAAGAGCCCGGAGAUGGAUUCUGAGACACGAAUCCAGGUCCUACGGGGCGCAGCAGGCGCGAAAACUUUACACUGCGCGAAAGCGCGAUAAGGGGACCUCGAGUGCGUGCGCAAUGCGUACGCUUUUCAGAUGCCUAAGAAGCAUGUGGGAUAAGGGCCGGGCAAGACCGGUGCCAGCCGCCGCGGUAACACCGGCGGCUCAAGUGGUGGCCGCUAUUAUUGGGCUUAAAGGGUCCGUAGCCGGACCAGUUAGUCCCUUGGGAAAUCUUACGGCUUAACCGUAAGGCUGCCAAUGGAUACUGCUGGUCUUGGGACCGGGAGAGGUAAGAGGUACCUCAGGGGUAGGAGUGAAAUCCUGUAAUCCUUGAGGGACCGCCAGUGGCGAAGGCGUCUUACUAGAACGGGUCCGACGGUGAGGGACGAAAGCUAGGGGCACGAACCGGAUUAGAUACCCGGGUAGUCCUAGCCGUAAACGAUGCGAGCUAGGUGUCACGUGGAUUGCGAAUCCAUGUGGUGCCGAAGGGAAACCGUGAAGCUCGCCGCCUGGGAAGUACGGCCGCAAGGCUGAAACUUAAAGGAAUUGGCGGGGGAGCAC